UAGCGGAACUCCUACGGGAGGCAGCAGUGGGGAAUUUUGGACAAUGGGGGCAACCCUGAUCCAGCAAUGCCGCGUGAGUGAAGAAGGCCCUAGGGUUGUAAAGCUCUUUUGUGCGGGAAGAUAAUGACGGUACCGCAAGAAUAAGCCCCGGCUAACUUCGUGCCAGCAGCCGCGGUAAUACGAAGGGGGCUAGCGUUGCUCGGAAUCACUGGGCGUAAAGGGUGCGUAGGCGGGUCUUUAAGUCAGGGGUGAAAUCCUGGAGCUCAACUCCAGAACUGCCUUUGAUACUGAGGAUCUUGAGUUCGGGAGAGGUGAGUGGAACUGCGAGUGUAGAGGUGAAAUUCGUAGAUAUUCGCAAGAACACCAGUGGCGAAGGCGGCUCACUGGCCCGAUACUGACGCUGAGGCACGAAAGCGUGGGGAGCAAACAGGAUUAGAUACCCGUGUAGUCCACUUAUG
rnacentral:rRNA from 1 species